rfam:Gossypium raimondii Chr11_contig_415, whole genome shotgun sequence.
AAUCUGUGAUGUAGGCACUUCCUUGGCAUUUUCUUGAAACGCUCUCACGCUUCAUACAAGGACUCACCUUCGUAUUGAUUGAAGUUGACGAUUUCUUGCCUCAAUAGAAU